GAUAAACGCUGGCGGCGUGCCUAAUACAUGCAAGUCGAGCGAACGGACGAGAAGCUUGCUUCUCUGACGUUAGCGGCGGACGGGUGAGUAACACGUGGAUAACCUACCUAUAAGACUGGGAUAACUUCGGGAAACCGGAGCUAAUACCGGAUAAUAUUUUGAACCGCAUGGUUCAAAAGUGAAAGACGGUCUUGCUGUCACUUAUAGAUGGAUCCGCGCUGCAUUAGCUAGUUGGUAAGGUAACGGCUUACCAAGGCAACGAUGCAUAGCCGACCUGAGAGGGUGAUCGGCCACACUGGAACUGAGACACGGUCCAGACUCCUACGGGAGGCAGCAGUAGGGAAUCUUCCGCAAUGGGCGAAAGCCUGACGGAGCAACGCCGCGUGAGUGAUGAAGGUCUUCGGAUCGUAAAACUCUGUUAUUAGGGAAGAACAUAUGUGUAAGUAACUGUGCACAUCUUGACGGUACCUAAUCAGAAAGCCACGGCUAACUACGUGCCAGCAGCCGCGGUAAUACGUAGGUGGCAAGCGUUAUCCGGAAUUAUUGGGCGUAAAGCGCGCGUAGGCGGUUUUUUAAGUCUGAUGUGAAAGCCCACGGGCUCACCGUGGAGGGUCAUUGGAAACUGGGAAACUUGAGUGCAGAAGAGGAAAGUGGAAUUCCAUGUGUAGCGGUGAAAUGCGCAGAGAUAUGGAGGAACACCAGUGGCCGAAGGCGACUUUUUGGUCUGUAACUGACGCUGAUGUGCGAAAGCGUGGGGAUCAAACAGGAUUAGAUACCCUGGUAGUCCCCGCCGUAAACGAUGAGUGCUAAGUGUUAGGGGGUUUCCGCCCCUUAGUGCUGCAGCUAACGCAUUAAGCACUCCGCCUGGGGAGUACGACCGCAAGGUUGAAACUCAAAGGAAUUGACGGGGACCCGCACAAGCGGUGGAGCAUGUGGUUUAAUUCGAAGCAACGCGAAGAACCUUACCAAAUCUUGACAUCCUUUGACAACUCUAGAGAUAGAGCCUUCCCCUUCGGGGGACAAAGUGACAGGUGGUGCAUGGUUGUCGUCAGCUCGUGUCGUGAGAUGUUGGGUUAAGUCCCGCAACGAGCGCAACCCUUAAGCUUAGUUGCCAUCAUUAAGUUGGGCACUCUAAGUUGACUGCCGGUGACAAACCGGAGGAAGGUGGGGAUGACGUCAAAUCAUCAUGCCCCUUAUGAUUUGGGCUACACACGUGCUACAAUGGACAAUACAAAGGGCAGCGAAACCGCGAGGUCAAGCAAAUCCCAUAAAGUUGUUCUCAGUUCGGAUUGUAGUCUGCAACUCGACUACAUGAAGCUGGAAUCGCUAGUAAUCGUAGAUCAGCAUGCUACGGUGAAUACGUUCCCGGGUCU
rnacentral:rRNA from 1 species